rnacentral:rRNA from 1 species
AUUGAACGCUGGCGGCAGGCCUAACACAUGCAAGUCGAGCGGAGCGGCGGACGGGUGAGUAAUGCCUAGGAAUCUGCCUGGCAGUGGGGGACAACGUCCGGAAACGGGCGCUAAUACCGCAUACUAUCAGAUGAGCCUAGGUCGGAUUAGCUAGUGGGUGGGGUAAAGGCCUACCAAGGCGACGCGCCACAACUGGUCUGAGAGGAUGAUCAGUCACACUGGAACUGAGACACGGUCCGGAGUCCUACGAGAGGCAGCAGUGGAGAAUAUUGGACAAUGGACGAAAGCCUGAGCCAGCCAUGCAGCGUGUGUGAAGAAGGUCUUCGGAUUGUAAAGCACUUUAGGUUGGGAGACGUUACCAACAGAAUAGGCACCGGCUAACUUCGUGCCAGCAGCCGCGGUAAUUC